CCGACUCCUAUUGCUGGCUGUUUUAAUGUUUCUUCCCGCUCUUAUUUACAAGCCACAAUUUCUUGAUCUAGCAUUUGGUGCAGCUUUGGCUGUUUUCUUGGUGUUAGAAAUUAUUCGACCAGGUUUGGAGAAUUUGGCCUUUAGGGCAUCCUGUACAUCAGUUUAUGAGUGCCUUUACAGAUCAUCGUGACUCGGAUCUUAUUAUUGUCAGCCACUUUUCACUCUUGUUGGGAUGUGCACUUCCUAUCUGGAUGUCCUCUGGGUUUAGUGAUCGACCUCUUACCCCUUUUACUGG